rnacentral:rRNA from 1 species
UACGAAGGGAGCUAGCGUUGUUCGGAAUCACUGGGCGUAAAGCGCACGUAGGCGGAUGUGUCAGUCAGGGGUGAAAUCCCGGAGCUCAACUUCGGAACUGCCCUUGAUACAGCACGUCUUGAGUCCGGAAGAGGUGGGUGGAAUUCCUAGUGUAGAGGUGAAAUUCGUAGAUAUUAGGAAGAACACCGGUGGCGAAGGCGGCCCACUGGUCCGGCACUGACGCUGAGGUGCGAAAGCGUGGGGAGCAAACAGG